rnacentral:rRNA from 1 species
AGCGGUAGCACAGAGAGCUUGCUCUCCGGUGACGAGUGGCGGACGGGUGAGUAAUGUCUGGGAAACUGCCUGAUGGAGGGGGAUAACUACUGGAAACGGUAGCUAAUACCGCAUAACGUCGCAAGACCAAAGAGGGGGACCUUCGGGCCUCUUGCCAUCAGAUGUGCCCAGAUGGGAUUAGCUAGUAGGUGGGGUAACGGCUCACCUAGGCGACCAUCCCUAGCUGGUCUGAGAGGAUGACCAGCCAUACUGGAACUGAGACACGGUCCAGACUCCUACGGGAGGCAGCAGUGGGGAAUAUUGCACAAUGGGCGCAAGCCUGAUGCAGCCAUGCCGCGUGUAUGAAGAAGGCCUUCGGGUUGUAAAGUACUUUCAGCGGGGAGGAAGGUGUUGUGGUUAAUAACCGCAGCAAUUGACGUUACCCGCAGAAGAAGCACCGGCUAACUCCGUGCCAGCACGCGCGGUAUAUA